AAGCUGGGCUUGACACACCCGAUCCUGGCCGGUUAGAAGUAGGGCUCAUGCCUAGAUUUCAUGGCGAUCUGGGCCGAUUCCCUUUCCUAGACAAAGGGCCGUGUCUGGAAGGAAAGACUUGAAAUUUAGAGGAAAUUGUGCAGUGUUUAUUUCGACCUCCCAUGGCUGUUUUCUUGCAAAGAUGAGUAAAUUGGUAAUCUGAAGAUAUAACUCUAAGGGGAGGACUUGAAGGACGUGAAAAGGACUGUAAUACACAAAAUUGGGAAGAUUCUGGUGAUCGAGGACAGGCUUCUAUUGAUGCCACAUCCUGUAAUGGUCGGGAGAUGUGUUCUUUACAUUGAUUCCUUCGAGCAGAGAAACUCUCCUUCCAAAUUAUGUGAAAAUUACUAUGAUAUGAUAGCUGAUGCUGAAUACGGAAUAGAGUUAGCAGAAAUUAAUGGCUUGAAAAUCGACAUUCAGCAAUUUUGACGAGUUUCUCAUUGAUAAUUUCUGUGUAGUUUUAGUUCUGGAUAUGACUGAACAUGUCAAAAAACAAGAACUCUUGGAAAGCAUGUACCUUAAAAAAUGUUUUUGAAAAAGCCUAAAUUUGGAAUAUGUUUGGGAGUUCUCAAUUGGGAUAUUGCAUAUCUUCUUAAGAUAAAGAGUGCUGAUCGCCAAUAUAUGUAAAAACUAGUGUACGGACACAAAUGGUUACAAAAUGAAUCUGAAUUUGAAAUUUA